UGUUAUGUUGUGUCUUUACGACAGGUUCUU
rnacentral:piRNA from 1 species